UUGUUGGGUAGGGGAGCGUUCUGUAAGCCUGCGAAGGUGGCCUGUGAGGGCUGCUGGAGGUAUCAGAAGUGCGAAUGCUGACAUAAGUAACGAUAAGGAGGUAUCAGAAGUGCGAAUGCUGACAUAAGUAACGAUAAAGCGGGUGAAAAGCCCGCUCGCCGGAAGACCAAGGGUUCCUGUCCAACGUUAAUCGGGGCAGGGUGAGUCGACCCCUAAGGCGAGGCCGAAAGGCGUAGUCGAUGGGAAACAGGUUAAUAUUCCUGUACUUGGUGUUACUGCGAAGGGGGGACGGAGAAGGCUAUGUUAGCCGGGCGACGGUUGUCCCGGUUUAAGCAUGUAGGCGGAGGUUCCAGGUAAAUCCGGUACCUUUUAACGCUGAGGUGUGAUGACGAGGCACUACGGUGCUGAAGUAACAAAUGCCCUGCUUCCAGGAAAAGCCUCUAAGCAUCAGGUAACAUUAAAUCGUACCCCAAACCGACACAGGUGGUCAGGUAGAGAAUACCAAGGCGCUUGAGAGAACUCGGGUGAAGGAACUAGGCAAAAUGGUGCCGUAACUUCGGGAGAAGGCACGCUGGUGUGUAGGUGAAGUCCCUGCGGACGGAGCUGAGACCAGUCGAAGAUACCAGCUGGCUGCAACUGUUUAUUAAAAACACAGCACUGUGCAAACACGAAAGUGGACGUAUACGGUGUGACGCCUGCCCGGUGCCGGAAGGUUAAUUGAUGGGGUUAUCCGUAAGGAGAAGCUCUUGAUCGAAGCCCCGGUAAACGGCGGCCGUAACUAUAACGGUCCUAAGGUAGCGAAAUUCCUUGUCGGGUAAGUUCCGACCUGCACGAAUGGCGUAAUGAUGGCCAGGCUGUCUCCACCCGAGACUCAGUGAAAUUGAACUCGCUGUGAAGAUGCAGUGUACCCGCGGCAAGACGGAAAGACCCCGUGAACCUUUACUAUAGCUUGACACUGAACAUUGAGCCUUGAUGUGUAGGAUAGGUGGGAGGCUUUGAAGCGUGGACGCCAGUCUGCGUGGAGCCAACCUUGAAAUACCACCCUUUAAUGUUUGAUGUUCUAACGUAGGCCCCUGACCGGGGUUGCGGACAGUGUCUGGUGGGUAGUUUGACUGGGGCGGUCUCCUCCCAAAGAGUAACGGAGGAGCACGAAGGUUAGCUAAUCCUGGUCGGACAUCAGGAGGUUAGUGCAAUGGCAUAAGCUAGCUUGACUGCGAGCGUGACGGCGCGAGCAGGUGCGAAAGCAGGUCAUAGUGAUCCGGUGGUUCUGAAUGGAAGGGCCAUCGCUCAACGGAUAAAAGGUACUCCGGGGAUAACAGGCUGAUACCGCCCAAGAGUUCAUAUCGACGGCGGUGUUUGGCACCUCGAUGUCGGCUCAUCACAUCCUGGGGCUGAAGUAGGUCCCAAGGGUAUGGCUGUUCGCCAUUUAAAGUGGUACGCGAGCUGGGUUUAGAACGUCGUGAGACAGUUCGGUCCCUAUCUGCCGUGGGCGCUGGAGAAUUGAGGGGGGCUGCUCCUAGUACGAGAGGACCGGAGUGGACGCAUCACUGGUGUUCGGGUUGUCAUGCCAAUGGCACUGCCCGGUAGCUAAAUGCGGAAGAGAUAAGUGCUGAAAGCAUCUAAGCACGAAACUUGCCCCGAGAUGAGUUCUCCCUGAGACUUUAAGUCUCCUGAAGGAACGUUGAAGACGACGACGUUGAUAGGCCGGGUGUGUAAGCGCAGCGAUGCGUUGAGCUAACCGGUACUAAUGAACCGUGAGGCUUAACCUU
rnacentral:rRNA from 1 species